rnacentral:rRNA from 1 species
UACGUAGGCAGCGAGCGUUGUUCGGAGUUACUGGGCGUAAAGGGUGUGUAGGCGGUUAUGUUAGUCUUCCGUUAAAUUCUUCGGCUCAACCGGGGGCAUGCGGAGGAAACGGCAUAACUUGAGGAUGGAAGGGGUCUCUGGAACUCAUGGUGUAGCGGUGAAAUGCGUUGAUAUCAUGGGGAACACCGAAAGCGAAGGCAAGAGACUGGUCCACUCCUGACGCUGAAACACGAAAGCGUGGGUCGCGAAUGGG